rnacentral:lncRNA from 1 species
GAACAGAUGUGGCAGUGAUGGAGUCCACGAUAAGUCAUGGAGCUGCAAUACCACAGCCUGGAAAUACCAACUGCUAGCUGACUUGCUAUAUGUAAAACAAAAAGAAAAGAAAAAAGUCUCGCUGUUUUAGUAUCUACAUCUGGUAUCUACACUGGUAUCUACAUCUGUCACUUGAAGUUAAACACAGCUGCUACCUGAGAUGGCCCAGAUGCAUCCUGUGUUCGCUCAGCCCCCACUGCCUGAGCACCUGCUCUGAGCCAGGCAUUGUCAGGACGACACAUCCUGGCCGCACAGAUAAACCGCAGGUGCUCAGAGGACCCCAGCAGGUCCCUUGGCUUCUCCACAGACCGGCCCUCCAUGAAGCAUGGGAAUCUGCAGGCUCUCCGGGACUUUUCC